rnacentral:rRNA from 1 species
AGGACGAACGCUGGCGGCGUGCUUAACACAUGCAAGUCGAGCGAACCUUCGGGUUAGCGGCGAACGGGUGAGUAACACGUGGGCAACCUGCCCCGAGCUCUGGGAUAACUCCGGGAAACCGGGGCUAAUACCGGAUAUGACCCGAGAAGACAUCUUCUCGGGUGGAAAGUUUUUCGGCUCGGGAUGGGCCCGCGGCCUAUCAGCUUGUUGGUGGGGUAACGGCCUACCAAGGCGACGACGGGUAGCCGGCCUGAGAGGGCGACCGGCCACACUGGGACUGAGACACGGCCCAGACUCCUACGGGAGGCAGCAGUGGGGAAUAUUGCGCAAUGGGCGAAAGCCUGACGCAGCGACGCCGCGUGAGGGAUGAAGGCCUUCGGGUUGUAAACCUCUUUCAGCAGGGACGAAGCGAAAGUGACGGUACCUGCAGAAGAAGCACCGGCCAACUACGCGCCAGCAGCCGC